CCCACGUGCAGUGAACGUGUAUGAUUCUGCGAUGCUGGGUCGGCGCAGGGCAUCUCAGGGUGUGAGAGGAGAAAGAAUAUGCAAGGUGCAGGAGAAGAAAAAUCAAGGAGUUAGAUUCAGGUGACUCGAUGUCUUGUGAUCAACGUGAGACCCAAUGAUGAACCCCCUCUUGAAGACAAAUACAGUUCUUCCAUUCUCUCUAAUAAAGUAGACUCUAAUAACGUCCUUUACUCCUUCCGUCUCUGCAAUUUCACAUCUCUCCAUUUCAGUGCUGGGGGACAUUUCUUUGAGAAU
rnacentral:lncRNA from 1 species